rnacentral:rRNA from 1 species
AACGAACGCUGGCGGCGUGCCUAACACAUGCAAGUCGAACGUGAUUGGAAGCUUGCUUCCAUGAAAGUGGCGCACGGGUGAGUAACGCGUAGAUAAUCUGCCUGGUGAUCCGGGAUAACACUUCGAAAGGGGUGCUAAUACCUGAUAAGCCCACGGUGUCUUCGGACAUUGCGGGAAAAGGGGGGGACCUUCGGGCCUUCUGUCACCAGAUGAGUCUGCGUACCAUUAGCUAGUUGGUAGGGUAAAGGCCUACCAAGGCUACGAUGGUUAGCUGGUCUGAGAGGAUGAUCAGCCACACUGGAACUGAGACACGGUCCAGACUCCUACGGGAGGCAGCAGUGGGGAAUUUUGCGCAAUGGGGGAAACCCUGACGCAGCAACGCCGCGUGAGUGAUGAAGGCCCUUGGGUCGUAAAGCUCUGACAGAGGGAAAGAAAUGUGGGUGGCUAAUAUCCAUACCACUUGACGGUACCCUCAAAGGAGGCACCGGCUAACUCCGUGCCAGCAGCCGCGGUAACAC